rnacentral:rRNA from 1 species
AAAGGAAUUGACGGGGGCCCGCACAAGCGGAGGAACAUGUGGUUUAAUUCGAUGAUACGCGAGGAACCUUACCCGGGCUUAAAUGUAUUUUGCAUGAUGUGGAAACACAUCUUUCCUUCGGGACUAUUUACAAGGUGCUGCAUGGUUGUCGUCAGCUCGUGCCGUGAGGUGUCGGGUUAAGUCCCAUAACGAGCGCAACCCUUGUUGUCAGUUGCCAGCAUGUAAUGAUGGGGACUCUGACAAGACUGCCGGUGUAAACCGUGAGGAAGGUGGGGAUGACGUCAAAUCAGCACGGCCCUUAUGUCCGGGGCGACACACGUGUUACAAUGGUCGGUACAGCGAGCAGCCACCUGGCGACAGGGCGCUAAUCUCCAAAGCCGAUCUUAGUUCGGAUCGGAGUCUGCAACUCGACUCCGUGAAGCCGGAUUCGCUAGUAAUCGCGCAUCAGCCAUGGCGCGGUGAAUACGUUCCCGGGCCUUGUACACACCGCCCGU